CCUACGGGUGACAGCAGUGGGGGAUAUUGCACAAUGGGGGAAACCCUGAUGCAGCGACGCCGCGUGGGUGAAGAAGCGCCUCGGCGCGUAAAGCCCUGUCAGCAGGGAAGAAAAUGACGGUACCUGAAGAAGAAGCCCCGGCUAACUACGUGCCAGCAGCCGCGGUAAUACGUAGGGGGCCAGCGUUAUCCGGAUUUACUGGGUGUAAAGGGGGCGCAGACGGGGAUGCAAGCCAGGAGUGAAAGCCCGGGGCCCAACCCCGGGACUGCUCUUGGAACUGCGGGGCUAGAGUGCAGGAGGGGCAGGCGGAAUUCCUGGUGUAGCGGUGAAAUGCGUAGAUAUCAGGAGGAACACCGGUGGCGAAGGCGGCCUGCUGGACUGCAACUGACGUUGAGGCCCGAAAGCGUGGGGAGCAAACAGGAUUAGAUACCCCAGUAGUC
rnacentral:rRNA from 1 species